UACAGAGGUCUCAAGCGUUGUUCGGAUUCAUUGGGCGUAAAGGGUGCGUAGGUGGCGGGGUAAGUCAGGUGUGAAAUUUCGGAGCUUAACUCCGAAACUGCAUUUGAUACUGCCUUGCUUGAGGACUGGAGAGGAGACUGGAAUUCACGGUGUAGCAGUGAAAUGCGUAGAGAUCGUGAGGAAGACCAGUGGCGAAGGCGGGUCUCUGGACAGUUCCCGACACUGAGGCACGAAGGCCAGGGGAGCAAACGGG
rnacentral:rRNA from 1 species